UCCGAAGGGGGCUAGCGUUGCUCGGAAUCACUGGGCGUAAAGCGCACGUAGGCGGCUUUCUAAGUCAGGGGUGAAAUCCUGGAGCUCAACUCCAGAACUGCCUUUGAUACUGGAGAGCUUGAGUCCGGAAGAGGUGAGUGGAACUCCGAGUGUAGAGGUGAAAUUCGUAGAUAUUCGGAGGAACACCAGUGGCGAAGGCGGCUCACUGGUCCGGUACUGACGCUGAUGUGCGAAAGCAUGGGGAGCAAACAGG
rnacentral:rRNA from 1 species